rnacentral:rRNA from 1 species
AUGCAACUAAUUUCAUGGUUCUAUGGUGAUGCUGAGAAUGUACCAUACACAACACAGGACCUUGCAAAUCAGCGAGCCAAAUUUCGCAAGGAGUAUCGUAAUGCAGACGUGGGGAGCACAAUUGCAUACUUUGUGGAGCUAAGGGCAAAGGAUCCAGAUUCCUAUUGCAGAAUGAAACUUGAUGAUGAAGACAGGGUGGAAAACGUGUUCUGGAUAGAUGGCGCAUCACGUAGGGCAUACACAAAAUACAACGACAUUGUGUCGUUCGACACAACGUACAUGACUAAUAUGUACAAGAUGUUGUGUGCCCCUUUCAUUGGCAUUAACACCCGCAGGCAAUCAAUCCAAUUCGGUUGUGUUCUGUUCGAAACAAACUGA